UACGAAGGGGGCUAGCGUUGCUCGGAAUCACUGGGCGUAAAGGGUGCGUAGGCGGGUCUUAAGUCAGGGGUGAAAUCCUGGAGCUCAACUCCAGAACUGCCUUUGAUACUGAGGAUCUUGAGUUCGGGAGAGGUGAGUGGAACUGCGAGUGUAGAGGUGAAAUUCGUAGAUAUUCGCAAGAACACCAGUGGCGAAGGCGGCUCACUGGCCCGAUACUGACGCUGAGGCGCGAAAGCGUGGGGAGCAAACAGG
rnacentral:rRNA from 1 species